AAAGAAAAUUCGAUUCCCUUAGUAGCGGCGAGCGAAACGGGAAGAGCCCAAACCAACAAGCUUGCUUGUUGGGGUUGUAGGACACUCUAUACGGAGUUACAAAGGACGACAUUAGACGAAUCAUCUGGAAAGAUGAAUCAAAGAAGGUAAUAAUCCUGUAGUCGAAAAUGUUGUCUCUCUUGAGUGGAUCCUGAGUACGACGGAACACGUGAAAUUCCGUCGGAAUCUGGGAGGACCAUCUCCUAAGGCUAAAUACUCUCUAGUGACCGAUAGUGAACCAGUACCGUGAGGGAAAGGUGAAAAGCACCCCGGAAGGGGAGUGAAAUAGAACCUGAAACCGUGUGCUUACAAGUAGUCAGAGCCCGUUAAUGGGUGAUGGCGUGCCUUUUGUAGAAUGAACCGGCGAGUUACGAUUUGAUGCAAGGUUAAGCAGUAAAUGUGGAGCCGUAGCGAAAGCGAGUCUGAAUAGGGCGUUUAGUAUUUGGUCGUAGACCCGAAACCAGGUGAUCUACCCUUGGUCAGGUUGAAGUUCAGGUAACACUGAAUGGAGGACCGAACCGACUUACGUUGAAAAGUGAGCGGAUGAACUGAGGGUAGCGGAGAAAUUCCAAUCGAACCUGGAGAUAGCUGGUUCUCUCCGAAAUAGCUUUAGGGCUAGCCUCAAGUGAUGAUUAUUGGAGGUAGAGCACUGUUUGGACGAGGGGCCCCUCUCGGGUUACCGAAUUCAGACAAACUCCGAAUGCCAAUUAAUUUAACUUGGGAGUCAGAACAUGGGUGAUAAGGUCCGUGUUCGAAAGGGAAACAGCCCAGACCACCAGCUAAGGUCCCAAAAUAUAUGUUAAGUGGAAAAGGAUGUGGCGUUGCCCAGACAACUAGGAUGUUGGCUUAGAAGCAGCCAUCAUUUAAAGAGUGCGUAAUAGCUCACUAGUCGAGUGACACUGCGCCGAAAAUGUACCGGGGCUAAACAUAUUACCGAAGCUGUGGAUUGUCCUUUGGACAAUGGUAGGAGAGCGUUCUAAGGGCGUUGAAGCAUGAUCGUAAGGACAUGUGGAGCGCUUAGAAGUGAGAAUGCCGGUGUGAGUAGCGAAAGACGGGUGAGAAUCCCGUCCACCGAUUGACUAAGGUUUCCAGAGGAAGGCUCGUCCGCUCUGGGUUAGUCGGGUCCUAAGCUGAGGCCGACAGGCGUAGGCGAUGGAUAACAGGUUGAUAUUCCUGUACCACCUAU
rnacentral:rRNA from 1 species